UACGUAGGGUCCGAGCGUUGUCCGGAUUUAUUGGGCGUAAAGAGCUCGUAGGCGGUUUGUCGCGUCUGCCGUGAAAGUCCGGGGCUCAACUCCGGAUCUGCGGUGGGUACGGGCAGACUAGAGUGAUGUAGGGGAGACUGGAAUUCCUGGUGUAGCGGUGAAAUGCGCAGAUAUCAGGAGGAACACCGGUGGCGAAGGCGGCCCGCUGGGCAGGAAGACCUCGUAAGAGGUCGGCUGACACUGAGGCGCGACAGCGUGGGGAGCAAACAGG
rnacentral:rRNA from 1 species